rnacentral:rRNA from 1 species
ACUCCUACGGGGAGGCAGCAGUGAGGAAUAUUGGUCAAUGGAGGCAACUCUGAACCAGCCAUGCCGCGUGCAGGAAGACUGCCCUAUGGGUUGUAAACUGCUUUUAUACAGGAAGAAACAGUCGUACGAGUACGACCUUGACGGUACUGUAAGAAUAAGCACCGGCUAACUCCGUGCCAGCAGCCGCGGUAAUACGGAGGGGUGCAAGCGUUAUCCGGAAUCAUUGGGGUUUAAAGGGGUCCGCAGGCGGUCAAUUAAGUCAGAGGUGAAAUCCCAUAGCUUAACUAUGGAACUGCCUUUGAUACUGGUUGACUUGAGUUAUACGGAAGUAGAUAGAAUAAGUAGUGUAGCGGUGAAAUGCAUAGAUAUUACUUAGAAUACCGAUUGCGAAGGCAGUCUACUACGUAUAUACUGACGCUCAUGGACGAAAGCGUGGGGAGCGAACAGGAUUAGAUACCCUGGUAGGAUAGCG